rnacentral:rRNA from 1 species
AUACGGAGGAUCCGAGCGUUAUCCGGAUUUAUUGGGUUUAAAGGGUGCGCAGGCGGCCAUUUAAGUCAGCGGUUAAAUCGUGGGGCUCAACCCCAUUCUGCCGUUGAUACUGGGUGGCUUGAUUGCGGUCGAGGUUGGCGUAAUUCGUUGUGUAGCGGUGAAAUGCAUAGAUAUGACGAAGAACACCGAUUGCGUAGGCAGCUGACCAGACCGCAAAUGACGCUCAUGCACGAAAGUGCGGGGAUCGAACAGGAUUAGAUACCCUGGUAGUCCGCACAGUAAACGAUGAAUACUUGUUUUCGGCGAUAUAAUGUCGGAGGCAAAGCGAAAGCGAUAAGUAUUCCACCUGGGGAGUACGCCGGCAACGGUGAAACUCAAAUGAAUUGGCGGGG